rnacentral:lncRNA from 1 species
ACACUGCGACUAUAUUUCAUUGAGCAUGUGUGUCUGGCCUAGUGGCAAUGAGAUAUCGGUGAUCUCGACGUUGAACACAAAAAGUUUCUCGAGGCCAUCAUCCGUUGCGCUGCAAUUUAGUGAGAAGCCUUCCCUCAAACAGUUAAGACAUAUACCAAAAGGGUAGGGGACGUCAAUCUCGCCGCAUCACGUUGGGCAGCCAGGCAGGGGACCUGCUGCAGAUGCCACUGUACCCACUAGCGGUAGCAUCAACAGCUGGAACAAGUUAUUUUCGCAAUUGCUUAUUUAACAGCAACCUGACAAUUGAAGCAAUUCUUCCAUCCAACAAUGUACUAACACUUUCAAGUUGUCAGUUAAUGAUUUUGCCUCCUGGUCUCCUAAAUCCUCUUCACAAAUGAAUUCAACUCAGUAUCAGUGUUAUCCCAUGUAGACCCUAACACUUCCAUAACCAAAUUCCUGACAUUAGCUUAAUGCAUGCAAAUUUGUUUUUCUUAAAUUCUUGUGAAUAGUUCUCAACAAAUCUCUUUGGAGGAAUGCCCUUAUGCUACAUCAGUGCCUGUGCCUAAUUGACACUCACAAAGUUGCUGCAAGUUUUGGUACGUUAGGAACAAACCAUCUUACUCAUGCAGAUAAACAACUCCUUUGUUUACCUGAGUUCAUGGAAUGAUUGAGAAUUAUUUCACGUACCUUCGAAGAAGAGCAAGCUUGGAUCCUCUCCUGGACAUACUUCGGAAGACAAUUCGCCGAGCCUGGUGCUGUCGUCAAGACCCACGUCUGAAACUUCUGCGCAGAAACACCCUUAUCGACCGCCAAAACAUCGGAUCUCCAAAUGUGCUCAUCUUCCUCCGCGAUCACACCGCACGAAACCAAAGCUGACACUAGCAAAUGGCUCAUGUCAGGGAGCACCAAAGGAUCCUCUGCGUUUCUGGACAUCUUCGCGAUCCUCGAAGAAUGCCCCAUGACCCAGCAGAUCCAGAAAAGCAUGAGCACCUCUCCCGGCAAGAGAGACCCGCCCACCUUAUCAUCGUCGCCAGCAUCGGGAUCGAACUCCAAGCCGCAAGGCGCUCCGGCUUCCCGGGACAGGGCGGCGUACAAUCUGUAUAGCUCGUUGAUGGAUCGUGAGACGGGCAUCCUGCCGUAGCAUCGCUUGUAGCCGCUCAAGAAGCCAAUCCAAUCAAUACGACCGUCAGCACGAUCAUCGGCAACGGGGAAGAAGAGCGAGACCAGGGUUGCGCCGAGAUUGUUCGACAGGGCAGGGAAGUGCUACGGCACCGGCGAGGAUUCGGACACAACAACUUGCACGUCCAGGGAAGAGGGGAGAAUCGAGGGUCAGUUGUCACAUGGGUUGUGGAUCGGUAGGCAGCAGCAGUACCUGGAGGGAAGCGAGGGGGACGGAAGAGGAGGAGGGCGGAGAGAGGUUGGAGAAGGCAUUGCGAAGGGAGGGGAGGAAGCCAUUGGCGGCGGCUAAGUUUUCCUCCUCUUCCUGCCGUUGCUGUUGCUCCGAGAUGCCUCCGUGGUCGGCGGAAGAGGACGCGCCCAUCUCCUGUUUGUUCGUUAGCCUGUCUGUCUGUCUGUCGUGUUCUCGCUUUAUCGGUGGAGAGGAGGAGACCAGCAGACCUCACGGGGCGUUGUUGGACUCUUGAAGCUCCCAAGGGACGGGCGGGCACAAACGAUCGCGAGGAUGGAUGUCGUCCUUGCGACGCUUCUGCGAUGCCGCUACACGCGUCAUGAAGCGGGGUUCGACCGCGGCGACGAACCCACGAUUGCAACAAGCAACGCUACCCGGGAAUUAAACCGGCUCCAUCGUGAGGUUCAAUAAACCUUCGAUGGAGUCGGACCGGCUCAAUCUCUCCCACAUCUCCCUUAAUUUACAUCUAAAAUUUGAGAUGGUAAUUAUUUUACUUAUUAUGAAAAGUAUAAAAAAUAAUAAUAGGUUAAUCAACCCAAAAAUAAAUAAUAUGUAUCAUAAAGAUAUUAUUAUUUAGUCGGCACGUGGAUGUCUAAAAAUUAUUGUAGACUUUUGUUAUUAUAAUAAAAAUUAUUUUUAAAUCAAGAAUGAUUUGUAAAAAAAAUUUAAAUCGGAUGAUAUGGGAUUCAUAUUUUAGGAUUUUUUUAAUUUUAUGUAUUCAUCAUGUCCCGUCUUAUAAAAUUUAAUCAUCAAAGGGAUCAAAGUCAAAAAAUAUUUCUAAUAUUAAUCACAGGAAGGAGGCUAUGGAAAUAAAUUUUAGAAAUUUUACAUCUUAGAAAUUUUACAUGGAUGAUCGAAAGCUAACAACUAUAAUAAAAAAAAAAAAAUUUAUGCUGAUGGACUUUUAUAAACUUAUGAAAGCUUAUCUAAGAGCCGAUCACAAAAUAAUACAUAUUUUCAUAUUAAACGGGUGGCAAUUAAUGUAUAAUUGUUCAUGCUAAUGCUUAAAUAGAUCAGAUGGACAUAGAUAAAGAACAUGGACUGUUUAUACCAUUUUAAUCUCAAUUAUUAAAUUAGAUAAUGAUAUCUCAGACAUGGCGACAACAAGGUCACAUUAUUAGACUAGAUAAUGAUAUCUCAGACAUGGCGACAACAAGGUCAGCCGAUCAUGGAACAUUUCCUGAAUGAUAAAAGCUCCACAAUCAAUGCAAAAUGUUUGAAAUGAUAAUAUUUAUUGGGAUAACCUUAUUCUUACACACAACAUAUUCCAGCAAGGAAAUGACAGAGAUUUCCUGUAGUUAUUAAUAAAUAUUCUUCGCCAUUAUACACUGGCACAAACACACACGAUCACAAGUAUACAUAGCAGCAGUAUCAAUUCAAGAUUGCAUCAAGAAGCCUCGAGAACCAGAGAGUUUGAGCAUGCACCAGAUCAUCAUCUUCCAUAUUCGAUGUCCAAUCCCAAUCUUUUCUCUGGAUUAUAGCUAGUAGUGGUUUCAAUUCCAUGAUAAUAUGUCUCAUGGUCAACUGAUGGUUGACUGAGCAAGCUCUCAAUCUCCUCGGUAUUCUGCGGUACCCACGGGUGCUGCUUGAAUUUUCUCAACCUGUCGAGCUCUUCCGCCACUUGCUUCAUCGUAGGCCUUUCUUCUCCCAUGAACUUCAAGCAUUGCUUUACGAGCUCGCUCAUUUCUUGAAUCAGUUCCGUAUCCCCUUCGUUUCUCACCUGAUCAUCCAAGAUCUCCAUAAGUCGGUUCUCCUUCGUCGCGAGAAUAAAACAUGAUGCGAGGCUCCUCUCAUCUUCAGAUGCUUCAAAAUAAAUUGGCUUCUUGCGGGUCAUCAGCUCCAGAAGCACCACGCCGAAGCUAUAAACAUCACUUUUCUCUGUCAACUGGCAGGUUUGGAGGUACUCUGGGUCCAAGUAACCACAAGUCCCUUGCACCAAGGUAGCAAACUGAUCCUCAUCUUUUGGAACCAGCUUCGAAGCUCCAAAGUCAGAAACUUUUGCUGUAUAGUUUUCAUCUAAAAGGAUGUUGGAAGACUUCACGUCGCCAUGAAUGAUGGGAGGCGAAGCCGAUGAAUGCAAGUAGGCCAGAGCUUCGGCAGACUCAUGAGCGAUCCUCAAGCGAGUGGCCAAGGAAAAGGGAGAUGCCCUGUUGUUGUCGUGAAUCAGCUGGAACAAGGUCCCGUUCGAGAUAAACUCAUAAACCAGCAUCGGAACCUCCACUUCCAAGCAACAACCCAAGAGCUUAACUAUGUUCUUGUGGUUGAUCUGCGACAGAAUAAGCAGCUCUUUUCCAAAUUCAUUCUUUUGGCUCUCAUCAAUGAUCUUGGGUUUCUUGAUGGCAACGACACGACUGUCCUCCAAGUCUCCUUUGUAAACGGUACCAUGUCCUCCUCUGCCAAGGACUCGGUUCUGAUCAUACUUCUCUGUAGCUUUUUCUAAUUCUUCUUUGGCAAAUAUCUUAAAUGCAAGACCUUGUUCUCUAAAGUAUCUCUCUUUAGCCUUGAUCUCUUCCAAUAAUAUCCAACCUCCAUGUUCUCUGAAAUAUCUUUCCUUAAUCUUGAUGAAUUUUCUUCUUUGAAAAAUCACAUAGAUACACAUGCCGGAUAUUAGUAGAAAGAUCAAGCCACUGCCACUACCUGUAUCUCAGAAAUUUUCAGGCCAAUUAAAACCAGGAAGAGAAACAAAAAUUAUGUUUUUUAUGCAAAUUAUUUUGGAUUUGUGGUUACUGGAAACUAUAAUACGAGCACAGAACAAUUUUGUGCUCUGCUUUUCUGAUGAUAAAAUCCUGGAUGCUUAUUCUUAUUGCUUUUCUUCUGCGCAAGCAUUAUGCUAAGCUACAUAACUAGAAUACAUGAAGUCCAUGCAAAUACAAGAAUCACAGAUAACUUGUAAACGUUAUUUCCUGCAACUUUUAGCAGGUAUAAACAUACAAGUUGGAUUUCCCUGGGAGAGAAGAAACACAGAAGUUGGACAAUGAGUUCUUUUUAGUUGAUAGAAAGGAUGUAUCUCUGGAGAAAGGUCUGAACUCAUGGCUGAAGUUGACAUCAGAUCUGUGUAGACUGAUAAGAAAAGGAAAAUAAAUAAAAAGGAAGAUUAGUGGGAACUUGAUGCUUGAGACGAACACAAACUUUAUUUCCUUUUCCUGUCAAGGCUCUAAACUUGUAUCUUGACUCACUUUAUCUCUACUUGAUCAUGAUAAAUAUCAUCUAAUUAUAGAACCCUAGAUGAGAGAGAUGAGAGUUACGAUACUUAAUCUUGAUGACUGCAUUCAUACAUUUUUAUCAUGUGUUAGCUAUGAAAUUUUCUAUCGACGCUUUACUUUUUCAUAAUCAAUGUAACCUUUCUUCAUGAUCACCAUGAUAUAUCUUUAGAUCAUGAUAACCUCUCUUAUCCCAUCAAAUUCAAAUCCUAGAGGUUACAAUUCUCCCCCUGUGUCCAUGAAAAAUAUAUGCUUCAAUUCUCUUUUAAUUAAGAUUAUUUCUCUAAACAUAGACAUCCUUGCAACAAAGAAACAAGUCAAGGUGAAUGGGGUCUUACCAAUAAUAACCUUCACUGGCGACGAAAGUUUCUGGUCUGCAGUGCAAUUUGCAUUUAAAGGGUUGCCGUGUGUGCCUGGCGGGCAGGAACAAUCGUAGCUACCAACUGUGUUCUGGCAGAUGCCAAGGCAUGGAUAUCGAUCUUUAUCAUCACAUUCAUUGAUGUCUGCAAUUAAAACAUAUUCGCAACUAUCAGCAACAAAAUCAUGAAAACUGAAAAGGCAAACAGAUCCCAGAAAGAGACGAGACUGGAACAGGUAACAGACCUUGGCAGCCCUGAGCGACAUAAGGAUUGCCUUGGUAGCCUCUCGAACAGUUACAAAGAUACCCAGGACCAUUGGAAGAGUUCAAACACUCGCUGUGCUCGCUGAUGCAGGCGUAGGAGGUUGUGUCGCGCUGUGCUACCUCGCAUGUCUCGUUUCUGAUCGCCCAAUCCACCACCAUAGGCGCCAUGCUGCUGUUGCUCAAGAAUUGGUUCGUUGUGAUGUAAGAUGUUCGGAACUCAAACUGAUUCGCCUCCAACAAUACGGCAUAGCUGCAGUCACUGAAGUUCCAGGUGCUCGAGCUGUUGAAAUUUGAAUCAAACAAAACCUCAUAGUAUGUGAGGUCGUUGGGGAUGGCGGUUUGGCAGCAGCCGAUGUCGGAGCAUGAGCUGUUGACCAAACUCACCUCGUUGUGACACACAGACCCGCAACCGCUCCAGUAGGUGUCGUUCCUUUUCCAACCUCCGAUGUAGGCGAGGGUGUCGCAGCCGAUUACAGUGAACUUGUUGUGGACAUCGGAGAAUCUGUAUGGUCUGUUGGUGAAAUCCAGAGACCAGACAUAGCCGUAUCUGGAAUUGUUGCUAACGUUGUAACACUGCCACGAUAUUUCACUGAGCAUGCGUGCCUGGCCUAGUGGCAAUGAGAUAUUGGUGAUCUCGACGUUGGACAAAAAAAGUUUCUCGUGGCCAUCCAUUUUGUUGCAAUCUAGUGAGAAGCCUUCCCUAGAACAGUUAGGAUCGAUGCCAAAAGGGUAGGGGACGUCAACCUCGCCGCAUCUCCUUCGGCAGCCAGGCGGUGCAGCUGCUGCAGAUGCCGUUGCACCCACUAGCGGCAGCAUCAACAGCUGGAACAAGCGAUACCCUAACAGCACACCCAUCUCUCGAUUUGCACACUAGCAGAGAGGUACUCUUCAGAUAAAAGCUUGGACAAAUGAUAUGUUACGGAAACACCAAAGCCUAAAAUGAAGCUUCCUCUUGACUGAGCGAUGAGGUGCAAGAAAGCUGACCUUUUCCCAGUCAAUCAUUUAUUUAAAAAAAUUAUUUGAUUGCAUCACUGUCUAAUUUUUCUGCAAAACAAUCGACUCACAACUUUGAUCCACAAGGAUGAAGUUUGAUUGCAUCAUCAACAGGCGGCCUUAGUGACCACACACCCAUCUUUCGCUGCGAUCGACGCCACAUGCUGCAAAGUCGGGAACGCAUAACGACAUCAGACUACUAAUAAGAUGAUUCGACCCUUCAGAACAAUACAAGUACAAGCAAAGAAAAGUCCAUGGACUGCUAUCGAGCAUCCUCCUCCAGUGGAUUUUCAUGGACCUGUUCAAUAUUUUAUGGUACAUCAAGAGCAAGUGGUCGGUGGAUCCGUGGAUGACACCGGUUGAGAUGGAGAUGGAGAUGGUGUAAGCGACUUAUCAAUCACACCUGUUCAUGAUCGUUAAACGUUAGCUUCUUUGCCAAUUAAUUAUUCUCUGUGACAAUAAGAACACAAAGAAAAAAGACAUGGAUAAUAAAUGGCGUUCUUUGUCUGAACAGUGAGACGUCGCAAUUGGAGUUGUUGGCUGUUCUAGAUUAUUUAUACCAUUCCACUCCGAAUUGUUAGAUUAGAUAAUGAUGUCUCACACAUAGUGACAAGAAGAUCAUCCGAUCAUCUAACAUUUCCCGAAUGAUAAAAGCUCCACAACAAAUGCAAAAUGUUUAAAAUGAUAAUAUUUAGAUAACCAUUUUCUUACAUACAAGAUAACCAUUUAAAGCUUCCACUUCGUUGACCGAUGAGGUGCAAGGAACAUAACUCCUCCCUAGUUGCUCGGUAAAAAAUGAGUUUGAAUGUUAGGCUUGUGAACGAUGACCAAUUCCUCUAAGUAUAUUUUCGUGGACCUAUUUGAUUCCCAUGUUGCAAUUGGUGUUCUUGGUUAUUCAACCAAUGACUAAUCAGCUGAUAGGUCUUUUCAUGACAAUACUCUUUCGUAGUACAAGAAGAACUAGCGAUUGAUGGAUGAUGAUGCUAGUUGAGAUGGACCUGGAGAAGGAAAAUAAUCACAUCUAUUUUGGUGUUUGUGCAAUUUUCUUCCAACGAUGGUUUGUCCUGUGCCUGGCAAUUUGUCUCCAGCUUCUUUGUCAAUGUCUUCUUCUUCCACAAAGGACUACUGAUUGAUGGAUGAUGGGUCCUUGAAAAUAACUGUUAAUGACUUGGGAUGGUCAAAUAUUUUUUUAUUCUCUCUUCAAUUUAAUAAUUGUUUUAAGUUACGAUAGCCAUCUAUGGUUUUUACAAGUGGAGAUCAUAUCAUUUGUCAGCUACAGAGCAUCCUCUCCCUCGGUAUAUUUUCAAGGAAACCUUAAAUUCCUACAUUGUAAUUGACGUUCUUGGUUUUUCUGCACAAACUUCAAAAGAAAAACCAGUGAUUGAUGUAUGAUGGUCGAGAUGGACAUGGCAAAUGCAACAAAAUUCUUCAAAAACUGGUCUUAUGCAUUCAACUUCUUUCGUAAGUAAUGUCGAUUGCAUAUGUUCAUCCAUGUCUUUUGUGCACCUUGUGGUGUUUGUAUGGUGAUUCGUUAUCCUUUUCGUUUUUAAGGCAUAUAUAUAUCCUUGUAAAGUUUGGAAAUUAUAUAUUUGUUAUCAUAACAUACACAUCCUUCACAAAUAUCACUUUAAUAUGGCAUAUUACCUUUAAUUUGCUUUUGGUCAUUCUUCCUGUUACUGUGAAUAAAACAGGAAAGGUCUUCAUUUCUCAUGUACAUACGUAUUCCUCACUUGCUAUAUUGUUUGUUCAGUUAAAUCUUGUAGAAACCUUAUGACUCUAUCAUGAUUUACAUACUUCUAUUACCAAUCAAAAGAUAAGAUGACAGAAUCAACCAGGAAUAAAAAACAUGCAGAAUAAUAGCGAAUUAAUAGGUUAGAACAUUCAGUGGUUGAGAAUGAUUUCACAUACCUCUGAAGGAGACCGAGGAGCUUGAAUGCCCUGCCGGACACACUACGGAAGACAAUUCGCCAAUCCUGGCACCGUCGUCGAGAUCCAUGCCUAAAGCUUCCGAGCGCAAACAUCCUUAUCGGGGGGAGACCUGCCCACCGAGCCAUCGUCGUCGAUGUCGGAGCACGAUCAUCGGCUCUAGGGAAGAAGCGCCAGAUUAGGGCUGCGCCGACAUUGCCCCAAGAAGCGGGGAAUCGCCUAGACGCAAAUGGCACACCAGGUUGGGUACUUCUUACACAUCAUACUAGGGCUAUGAUUCAUUGUCGAUUCGGUGAGGAUUGUAAGGGUCGUCGAUUGGUAAGCAGCAACGAUGCCCGGAGGAAAGCGAGGGGCUGAGGCAGUGCGGAGGAACGGGACAUUGCCGGUGGAGGCCCAGUGAGGGUUCCUCCUCUACCUGUCGACGCUGUCGCUUGAAUCUGCGGUUCUUCCAUGAUGAGUGGACACCGCUGAUCAUAAGGUGUUCGAAAACUUAAAAGGCUCCUUAAACACACAGAUCUCCACUACAUAAAAGCUCUUUAAGCCUUACAACUACUGCUGGCAUUUCGAAUUAUUAAUAUUGAAGAUUAUUUAAUGAAUUACAAUUUUUACACAUGACAUCACUUAACUCGUUUUUAGAAAAUAAGACUAUAACAAUUUUUUUAGAAUAUUUACCAAAUUAUUAUGCAUUUCUUUACAACAAAUAGUCCUCCAAUAUCUUUGUUUCCUCUUCGAUCUAAGUCAAAUCUCGAAAGAAAUUUCAUGUGGACACCACUUCAUGAUCCCGAAAAGAAAGAAAAUAAUUACACAUUUAUAAUUUGAAACAUGUUCUUCAUCAAACCUAGUCAAAAUCCGACUUAAUAGAAUAUCAAAUUGAGUGGAUCAACGAAUCAUCAAUGAUAGGGAGGAAAAAAUACGACACAUAACCCCCACAUGGAGUCCUGAAUAGGAGAAAAAGAUCUACAUCACCUUUCACGCAUCUAUCCACGUGGAUAAGAGUCCAAAACACAUCAAGGCAAGCGGUUGAGGCUUGUCUCGUCUUAUCACCCAUAUGGACAAGAGGUCAAGAAGAUACUAUUAAGAGUGGUUAGAGACUGCUCCCCCUCUGUGACCAAAUAUAAAAAUUCAUCAUCAACAUAAUGAGCUAAGACCUUUUUGAUCACUCACAUCCAUACUCAUAUACCUCAUGUUGCUAACUUAGCAUCGAAGGAAUCGAAUCGGGAAACCUCUCUCAAUCUUGAUAUUCGUGCAAACGGUACCUUAGAAACUUGACAUUUCUAGGAGGUACAUCGGAUAAUCCAACAUAUAUGAGUCUGAAUCAUGUCGGGUUGACCUGGAUACUAAUGACUUCUUCACCUAACAUUUUUGACGAAGAAGGGCUCGAUGUUAUAAAAAUGCCAGCUAGUCAACCCUCUUAAUGAAUGCUUGAGCAACAAUAUUUUGCCCUUGACCCAUAGCACUUUUACUUAUGGAGGCAAUAGCCACUAAAGCCACAUAUGGAUACAUCCAUUUUGGUACAAACGCUAGUGCAGCAUCGACAUUUGUUCAACAACCCAGGCCUCUCAAUCCCGAAGAUAAUCUUGAGCCAUCUACUCUUUCUAAUUGAGAUGUUCUUGAAUCUUACCCAACAUGUGCAGACACUAAUGAACAUUAUACAAUUCGUCACUUCACUUUUGCCCUAGCUAGCCUAACAAACGAAACCACCUUGGCUCAUACUAUGUGCAGUCAUGAUCAAUAACUCAACCACCAUCGACACCCGCAUCUAUCAAGGUCCCCUCAUACGAUGUGAUGCUUACAUCCUAAGAACACCUUGGCUCGUUGAGCCAUUGGCUGAGGGAGCCAGACAAUUGGCAAAUUUUAUUAUAUAUAUAUAUAUAUAUAUAUAUUCCUGAGCCAAAGAAGCUUUGGCUCUGAUCAUAUCAUUAGCAUGCAUGGCCAGAUUGAUUCCCGUGUUUAGUUUAAAUGAUUUAGAUUAGAAUUUCGUUUGACAAAGUCAUAUUCAACAAUUUGAAAGAAGCCAGAAGAGAAAUUGCCAGACGUAUGUGACAGAAAUAUUACAAAGCUGCUUGAUACACAGAACAUAGGAACCCUAUUGUGAUUUCACAGCAUCAAUCCUUUUCAACAUGUGUAACUCAACAGUGGCUGGACUAGAAAUAUAUAACAAGGCCAAAUUACCUACCAAAUUGACUGUAAGAUCCAUCAGUGGAUAGAGGUCAAUCCAAGUGCUAACCAUUCUUCACAUACACCUUUCCUUAAUCUUGAUGAACUUUCUUCUUUAAAAAAUCAUAUAGAUACACAUGCAGAAUAUUAGUAGAAAGAUCAAGCCAUUGCCAGUACCUGUAUCUCAAAAAUUUUCAGACCAAUUAAAAGCAGGAAGAGAAAUAAAAAUUAUGUUUUUUAUGCACAUUAUGUUGGUUUUAUAGUUACUGGUAACAAUAACACAAGCAUGGUCAUAUUUAUGCUAUGCAUUUCUGCUGCUAUUAUCCUAUGAAUGGAUUAUUUUUAAUUAGACUUUCCUAAGGAAAAAAAGGGUUAAUAAUAUAUUACUCUAUGUAAUUAGUUAUCUUUAAUAUUUUAAUUUUUAUACUUUUAAAAGUUAUAUUAGGAUUCUCCUAUUUACGAAAGUGAAAUAUAUAAUUUUAUUUCUCCUUAUUUUUGACAAAAAUACUACACGUGCUCAAUGAUAAACCGAAAUAAGACAGAGUUAACAUGUGCUCAAUGGUAAACUAUAUGAUAUUUUAGUUCGUAGAGUCAACGACGACGUGAGAAGAAAUAAGAUUAAAUAUUUUACUUUCUUAUUACUUUAGAGAUCGUAAUGUAACUUUUGAAAGUAUAAAAAUCAAAAUGCUAAAGAUAAUUAAUUACAAAAGAUAAUUUAUGAUUAGAUCUAAAAAAAACACACAGCCAAAGGUGUGAACUCAUGACAGAAGUUGAAAAAAAAAAAUAAAGAUUAAGAACCUUCAAUAAUAGGGAUAAACAUGGAGACUUUGUUAACGAUAAAAGUUCUUCGAGGUUAUGUAAUCAAACCCGGUUCGCUGAUGAAAGCAGUACCGACAAUUAUGAAUUUAACAUAAUAUUGAUCAUUCUCAAGUAAAUACACUUUCUUGUGUGUGUGGAUCAAAAAAUUAUCAGCUACUUGGAGAUGGUACAAGACAAUAGAAUAUAAAAUCGAAUAAGGCUAUUGUCAUUAGUACCCUCUCUAUAAGAUACACCUAUAGUCUCUAGUGCAGGUAGAUUAAAAGGAUUUGAAGUAAUGGAACAAAAGAAUUCAUUCGUAAUACUUGGCAUCAAAUAUGUUUGGAGAUCCUCGACAAAGACAAAAGUCAUGGUGGAAAAAAGACUCUUACCUACAGCCACCUUCGCUGAUGAUUGAAGUUUCUGCUGUUGGGUGCAUGUUCCAUUGAAGGCAUCACCAUGUGUACCUGGCGGGCAGAAACAAUUGUAGCUACCGGGCAGGUUCUUGCAGGUGCCAUGGCAAGGAUAUCGAUCUUUAUCAGAACAUUCGUCGAUGUCUGCAAGUAAAACAUAUUCGCGAGUAUCAGAAACAAAAUCAUGAAAACUGAAAAGGCAAGCAGAUCCCUGAAAGAGACGAGACUUAACAGACCUUGGCAGCCAUGAGCGACAUAAGGAUUGCCAUGGUAGCCACUCGAACAGUUACAAAGAUACCCAGGACCAUUGGAAGAGUUCAAGCACUCGCUGUGCUCGCUGAUGCAGGCGUACGAGGUUAUGUUGCGCUGUGCUACCUCGCAUGUCUCGUUUCCGAUCGCCCAAUCCACCACCAAAGGAGCCUUGCCGUUGUUGUUGAACCAGAAUUGGGUCGUUGUGAUGUAAGAUGUUAGGAACUCAAACCGAUUCGCCUCCAACAAUACGGCAUAGCUGCAGUCACUGAAGUUCCAGAUGCUCGAGCUGUUGAAAUCUGAAUCAAACCAGACCUCAUAGUAUGUGAGGUCCUUGGGGAUGGAGGUUUGGCAGCAGCCGAUGCCGGAGCAUGAUGAGCUGUUGACCAAACUCACCUCGUUGUGACACGUAGACACGCAACCGCUCUGGUAGCUGUCGGCCCUUUCGAAAUCUCCGAUGUAGGCGAGGGUGUCGCAGCCGAUCACAGUGAACUUGUUGAGGUCGUCGGAGAAUCUGUAUGGUGUGCCGACGAAAUUCAGAGACCAGAGAGAGGAUUCCAGAGACUUGCUGCUAACGUUGUAACACUGCCACGAUAUUUCAUUGAGCAUGCGUGCCUGGCCAAGUGGCAACGAGAUAUCGGUGAUCUCGACGACGGACAAAAAAAGUUUCUCGAGGCCAUCAUCCGUUGUGUUGCAAUCUAGUGAGAAGCCUUCCCUCGAACAGUUAGGACCAAUGCCAAAAGGGUAGGGGACGUCAAUCUCGCCGCAUCUCCUUCGGCAGCCAGGC